rnacentral:rRNA from 1 species
UACGGGGGGGCAAGCGUUGUUCGGAAUUACUGGGCGUAAAGGGCGCGUAGGCGGCCACCGCAAGUCGACUGUGGAAAUCUCCGGGCUUAACCCGGAAAGGUCAGCCGAUACUGCGGGGCUAGAGUGCAGAAGGGGCAACUGGAAUUCUCGGUGUAGCGGUGAAAUGCGUAGAUAUCGAGAGGAACACCUGCGGCGAAGGCGGGUUGCUGGGCUGACACUGACGCUGAGGCGCGAAAGCUAGGGGAGCGAACGGG